UGAGGAAUAUUGGACAAUGGUCGGAAGACUGAUCCAGCCAUGCCGCGUGCAGGAAGACGGCCUUAUGGGUUGUAAACUGCUUUUGCAGGGGAAGAAUAAGGACUACGUGUAGUUUGAUGACGGUACUCUGCGAAUAAGCAUCGGCUAACUCCGUGCCAGCAGCCGCGGUAAUACGGAGGAUGCGAGCGUUAUCCGGAAUCAUUGGGUUUAAAGGGUCCGUAGGCGGGCUAAUAAGUCAGAGGUGAAAGCGCUCAGCUCAACUGAGCAACUGCCUUUGAAACUGUUAGUCUUGAAUGGUUGUGAAGUAGUUGGAAUGUGUAGUGUAGCGGUGAAAUGCUUAGAUAUUACACAGAACACCGAUAGCGAAGGCAUAUUACUAACAAUUAAUUGACGCUGAUGGACGAAAGCGUGGGGAGCGAACAGG
rnacentral:rRNA from 1 species